rnacentral:rRNA from 1 species
CCUACGGGGGGCAGCAGUGAGGAAUAUUGGUCAAUGGUCGGGAGACUGAACCAGCCAAGCCGCGUGAGGGAGGAAGGUACAGAGUAUCGUAAACCUCUUUUGUCAGGGAACAAAGACUGGGACGCGUCCCCGGAUGAGUGUACCUGAAGAAAAAGCAUCGGCUAACUCCGUGCCAGCAGCCGCGGUAAUACGGGGGAUGCGAGCGUUAUCCGGAUUUAUGGGGUUAAAGGGGUGCGCAGGCGGUCGGUUAGGUCAGCGGUCAAAGCCCGGGGCUCAACCCGGGCCCGCCGUUGAAACUGGCAGUCUCGAGUUGGAGAGAGGUAUGCGGAAUGCGCGGUGUAGCGGUGAAAUGCAUAGAUAUCGCGCAGAACUCCGAUUGCGAAGGCAGCAUGCCGGCUCCACACUGACGCUGAGGCACGAAAGCGUGGGUAUCGAACAGGAUUAGAUACCCCGGUAGUC